GUGCUUGCUUUAGCAGCUCAUACACUAAAAUUGGAACAAUAUAGAGAAGAUUAGCAUGGUCCCUGCACAAAGAUGACACACAAAUUGGUGAAGCAUUUCAUAUUUUU
ensembl:snRNA U6 U6 spliceosomal RNA